rnacentral:rRNA from 1 species
GCACAACGCGAAGAACCUUACCUACUCUUGACAUCCAGAGAACUUAGCAGAGAUGCUUUGGUGCCUUCGGGAACUCUGAGACAGGUGCUGCAUGGCUGUCGUCAGCUCGUGUUGUGAAAUGUUGGGUUAAGUCCCGCAACGAGCGCAACCCUUAUCCUUUGUUGCCAGCGGUCCGGCCGGGAACUCAAAGGAGACUGCCAGUGAUAAACUGGAGGAAGGUGGGGAUGACGUCAAGUCAUCAUGGCCCUUACGAGUAGGGCUACACACGUGCUACAAUGGCGUAUACAAAGAGAAGCGACCUCGCGAGAGCAAGCGGACCUCAUAAAGUACGUCGUAGUCCGGAUUGGAGUCUGCAACUCGACUCCAUGAAGUCGGAAUCGCUAGUAAUCGUAGAUCAGAAUGCUACGGUGAAUACGUUUCCGGGUCUUGUACACACCG